rnacentral:RNase_P_RNA from 1 species
ACCUGCCCACAAAAGGAGCUCCGUGCUCAGAAUUACGCAGGUGGGAAAUUCGGUGGUUCACGCUGUCCAACAUUACCCUUUCUCUUGAGAGAUCCUGGCGAGGAAUCGCUGGGUGCGGCCAUAAGAAAUCAGCCCCCUAAAAAGGGCAUGGGAGGCUGCACGGACAGUUGGUCCUUGGAAAGAGGGCUAUUGAGUGCAAUAUACAGACUGGGGGCUUUGGCCCCUGGAA